rnacentral:tRNA from 9 species
GCCCCCGUGGCGGAAUUGGUAGACGCGCCUGACUCAAAAUCAGGUUUCCUCACGGAAGUGUUGGUUCGAGUCCGACCGGGGGCACCA